rnacentral:rRNA from 1 species
UAUACGCGCCCGUUCCAACUUUAGUUUGCUAAGGGGCUGUGCCGGCCAUUGAGCCGUCACGAACCGACCCAGCUUUAUGCGGAAAGCCGUAGGGGGACGCAGGAAGGUAGAUGAACCCGGGCGAUGGUAGACCCGGGGUAAGCGUGUAGGACGAGGACUAGGCAAAUCCGGGCCUCAUUAAGUCUGAGACGUGAUACGGACCCGCUUCAGGGGAAGUCAUUGAUCCUAUGCUGCCUAGAAAAUCCUAGCGGCGAGUUUAUGUGGCGCCCGUACCCCAAACCAACACAGGUGGACAGGUAGAGAAUACCGAGGCGAAUGGGAUAACAGUGGUUAAGGAACUCGGCAAAAUGCCUCCGUAACUUCGGGAGAAGGAGGACCCCAUUAGGGUGACGGCACUUGCUGCCCGAGCUCGAAGGGGUGGCACAGAAUUGUGGGAAGCGACUGUUUACUAAAAACACAGCAGCGUGCUAAGCCGUAAGGCGCUGUAUACGCUGUGACGCCUCCCCGGUGCUGGAAGGUUACGGGGAAGGGUUAGUCUUCGGACGAAGCUCUGAACCUAAGCCCCAGUAAACGGCGGCCGUAACUAUAACGGUCCUAAGGUAGCGAAAUUCCUUGUCGGGUAAGUUCCGACCUGCACGAAUGGCGUAACGACUUCCCAACUGUCUCAACCACUGACCCAGCGAAAUUGAAGUACGAGUAAAGAUGCUCGUUAGCUGCAGAAGGACGGAAAGACCCCGUGGACCUUUACUGCAACUUGAUGUUGGGUUUUGUUAUGCGUUGUGUAGGAUAGGUGGGAGACGAGGAAGCAUUGGCGCUAGCCAGUGUGGAGUCAUCCUUGAAAUACCACCCUGCGUAUGGCGAGGCUCUAACCCAGACCCGUUAUCCGGGUCGGGAACAGCGUCAGGUGGGUAGUUUGACUGGGGCGGUCGCCUCCUAAAGAGUAACGGAGGCGCCCAAAGGUUCCCUCAGCCUGGUUGGCAAUCAGGCGUCGAGUGCAAUGGCAAAAGGGAGCUUGACUGCGACACUGACACGUGGAGCAGGAGCGAAAGCUGGGCAUAGUGAUCCGGCGGUUGCGUGUGGAAGCGCCGUCGCUCAACGGAUAAAAGGUACCCCGGGGAUAACAGGCUAAUCUUCCCCAAGAGCCCAUAUCGACGGGAAGGUUUGGCACCUCGAUGUCGGCUCAUCGCAUCCUGGGGCUGAAGCAGGUCCCAAGGGUUGGGCUGUUCGCCCAUUAAAGCGGUACGCGAGCUGGGUUUAGAACGUCGUGAGACAGUUCGGUCCCUAUCCUCUGCAGCCGGAGGUGAAUUGAGGAAAGCUAUCCCUAGUACGAGAGGACCGGGAUGGACGUAGCUCUCGUGUGCCAGUUGUCCUGCCAAGGGCAUGGCUGGUUAGCGACCUACGGACGGGAUAACCGCUGAAAGCAUCUAAGCGGGAAGCCUCUUCCAAGAUGAGUUCACCCACAGGGUUAACCUGGUAAGGCCCGUGGUAGACCACCACGUUGAUAGGCCGGAAGUGUAAGCACAGCAAUGUGUUCAGCUGACCGGUACUAAUCGGCCGAGGGCUUGGGU